UACGUAGGGGCCUAGCGUUGUCCGGAUUUAUUGGGCGUAAAGAGCUCGUAGGCGGUUUGUCGCGUCGGCCGUGAAAUCUCCACGCUUAACGUGGAGCGUGCGGUCGAUACGGGCAGACUUGAGUUCGGUAGGGGAGACUGGAAUUCCUGGUGUAGCGGUGAAAUGCGCAGAUAUCAGGAGGAACACCGGUGGCGAAGGCGGGUCUCUGGGCCGAUACUGACGCUGAGGAGCGAAAGCGUGGGGAGCGAACAGG
rnacentral:rRNA from 1 species